CAUAGUUGCCUAAUAACAACCCAUAGUUUGCCCAAUUCCAUAUGGAGGGGAGGUUCCCUCCCUCGCUGAGAUUAAGACGCAUAAAUUGAAGGAGACUGCAAAGUUUUUGAGGAUGAUUUGUGUUGGUGGCUCAGAUGACAGGAGACAACUCAUGAGGGCCCUUAGCAGGCAGGCGGUGACCUCACGCAGCACCUUGGCAGAGAGGAAAGGAAAGAAAAGAGCAGCACCGUGAGGUGAGACCCAACCCGCCGGCUAGGAACCUCUUCCCAGCUCCCAGUUUCCUUUCCUCCCUAGGCGAGGCCAUAAAAUGAGGUGGAGUGGUGGGUGCUCUACUAGGUCUUGGCCCCUGCAGCCACGCUCGGUGUGCACGGGGAAUGCCCUCAGCUUUGAAGUCACCUGAGCUUCCCCAGAGCCACAUGGAAGCGUCACCCU